AGAGUUUGAUCCUGGCUCAGGACGAACGCUUGCGGCGUGCCUAAGAAAUGCAAGUCGAGCGAGGUUAGGGAGCUUGCUCCCGAAGCCUAGCGGCGAACGGUCGCGUAACACGUAAGCAACCUGCCCCAAAGUGGGGGAUAGCCCUCCGAAAGGAGGAUUAAUACCGCAUGUGGAUGACUCUUCGCAUGUAGAGUCAUCUAAAGCAGCGAUGCGCUUUGGGAUGGGCUUGCGGCCUAUCAGCUAGUUGGUGAGGUAACGGCUCACCAAGGCGACGACGGGUAGCUGGUCUGAGAGGAUGGUCAGCCGGACUGGGACUGAGAUACGGCCCAGACUCCUACGGGGGGCAGCAAUAAGGAAUCUUGCGCAAUGGGGGAAACCCUGACGCAGCGACGCCGCGUGAAGGAUGACGGCCUUCGGGUUGUAAACUUCUUUUAAGAAGGAAGAAUUAAGUGACGGUACUUCUUGAAUAAGCCCCGGCUAACUACGUGCCAGCAGCCGCGGUAAUACGUAGGGGGCGAGCGUUGUCCGAAUUUACUGGGCGUAAAGCGCGCGUAGGCGGACCUUUAAGUGGAGGGUGAAAUGCCGGGGCUCAACCCCGGAACUGCCUUUCAAACUGGAGGUCUUGAGGUAUGGAGAGGGAUGUGGAAUUCCUGGUGUAGCGGUGAAAUGCGUAGAUAUCAGGAGGAACACCCGUGGCGAAGGCGGCAUCCUGGCCAUAAACUGACGCUGAGGUGCGAAAGCUAGGGGAGCGAACGGGAUUAGAUACCCCGGUAGUCCUAGCCGUAAACGAUGGAUACUAGGUGUUAGUGGUAUCGACCCCACUAGUGCCGCAGCUAACGCAAUAAGUAUCCCGCCUGGGGAGUACGGCCGCAAGGUUGAAACUCAAAGGAAUUGACGGGGGCCCGCACAAGCGGUGGAGCAUGUGGUUUAAUUCGUCAUUAACCGAAGAACCUUACCAGGGUUUGACAUGUAGGGAAUUCUGAUGAAGUCGGAAGUGCCCCCAAAAGGGGAGCCCUAACACAGGUGUUGCAUGGCUGUCGUCAGCUCGUGUCGUGAGAUGUUGGGUUAAGUCCCGCAACGAGCGCAACCCUCAUCCGAUGUUGCCAGCGGGUAAAGCCGGGAACUCUUCGGAAACUGCCCGUGUAAGCGGGAGGAAGGUGAGGAUGACGACAAGUCGGCAUGGCCCUUACACCCUGGGCUACACACAUGCUACAAUGGACGUU
rnacentral:rRNA from 1 species